UGAGUACGAGAUGCUACGGCAUCGAAGCAGUCUAUGUCAUACUUCCAAGAAAAGCUUGCAAUGUCAUAAACAAAUAAUGCCUGUACCAUAACCGACACAGGUGGGUAGGUAGAGUAUACUAAGGGGCGCGAGAUAACUCUCUCUAAGGAACUCGGCAAAAUGACUCCGUAACUUCGGGAGAAGGAGUGCCUUAUUUUUAUAAGGUUGCAAUAACAAGAUCCAAGCAACUGUUUACCAAAAACACAGGUCUCCGCUAAGUCGUAAGACGAUGUAUGGGGGCUGACGCCUGCCCAGUGCCAGAAGGUUAAAGAAGUUGGUUAGCAUUAGCGAAGCUGAUAACUGAAGCCCUGGUGAACGGCGGCCGUAACGAUAACGGUCCUAAGGUAGCGAAAUUCCUUGUCGGGUAAGUUCCGACCCGCACGAAAGGCGUAAUGAUUUGGAUACUGUCUCGGAGAGGGGCUCGGUGAAAUAGACUUGUCUGUGAAGAUGCGGACUACCUGCACCUGGACAGAAAGACCCUAUGAAGCUUUACUGUAACUUGAGAUUGAAAUUGGACUUUAUCUGCGCAGUAUAGGUGGGAGACGUUGAAAAUAUUCUUGCGGGAAUAUUGGAGUCAUCAGUGAGAUACCACUCUUAUAAUGUUAGAUUUCUAACUUUGUAUCAUUAUCUGGUCAAAGAACAGUUUCAGGCGGGCAGUUUGACUGGGGCGGUCGCCUCCCAAACGGUAACGGAGGCGCACAAAGGUUUCCUCUGAACGUGUAGAAAUCGUAUCUAGAGUGUAAAGGCAUAAGGAAGCUUGACUGUGAGACCUACAAGUCGAGCAGGGACGAAAGUCGGUCUUAGUGAUCUGACGGUGCUGAGUGGAAAGGCCGUCACUCAACGGAUAAAAGUUACUCUAGGAUAACAGGCUGAUCUCCCCCAAGAGUUCACAUCGACGGGGAGGUUUGGCACCUCGAUGUCGGCUCAUCGCAUCCUGGGGCGGUAGUACGUCCCAAGGGUUGGGCUGUUCGCCCAUGAAAGCGGUACGCGAGCUGGGUUCAGAACGUCGUGAGACAGUUCGGUCCAUAUCCGGUGUAGGCGUUAGAAUAUUGAGAGGAGCCUUCUUUAGUACGAGAGGACCGAGAAGGACAUACCUCUGGUGUACCAGUUAUCGUGCCAACGGUAAACGCUGGGUAGCCAUGUAUGGAGAGGAUAACCGCUGAAAGCAUCUAAGUGGGAAGCCCACCUCAAGAUAAG
rnacentral:rRNA from 1 species